rnacentral:lncRNA from 1 species
UGCCCAGGGCAGCGAGCUGGCUAGGUAGAGUCGAGACCGAGAGAAAUGGAACAUGGCAUCAUCUUUGUGAUGCUCCUGGCCAUGGCGGCCACCGUCGGAGCGCGGUCAGGAGCCACGGCGCAGCCAUCCUGCAUCCCCACUGCAGAUGGCGCCCCUCGCAUGCACGGUACUACUACUACUACUUGCGAACUCUUGGGAACAGCUAGCUAUGUUUCGAUUGUUUCCUCGCUCUUUUCUCUAUAUGAACAAAUUUCUAGGGUUUCUUUGUACAGCCGGAGCAGUGCCCCCGUCGGUCGCCGCCAACUCGUCCCCGGCGCUUCAUCGUCUGCAUCGUCCUGCCAGAGGACUGCCAACGCACCCAGCUCCGGCGGAUCAUGAACCGCGGUCACUCGCCCGGCCGCUUCCUCGUCUGCCUCGUCCGGCCAGAGGACUACCGACAACACCAACUCCCGUGGAUCAUGAGCCGUGGUCACCACCGCCGCCCGCCAUGCAAGGGUGAUUAGUUUAUGAAAGUGCAGCCGUGCCUGUUUCUCAGUACGUUGCUGUUGAUCACCUGGCAAAAAGAAAAGACCCAGUGUCGUCGCUUUAAUAUUCUGUAUCCUGUAGUGUAGUUCAGUCUAGUUCCAGUUUUUGUCAGCGUGCAAGUUCUAGUCUACAUUUUUUGCUUAAACAUCACUGUAAUAAGUUCUUUAGGCCUUACAUCUAAAUUCGCGUCUUCUCUUGGAAUCUUUUUUCUUUGAACACCUCUUUGAAUCUUU